CAAGAAAUCUCAGAAAUGUAUAGUUACAUACACAAACUUAUAUAGAAAAUUUAUGACUUGUGUAUGUAUUUCAUAAAACCAAUCGAAAAAUAUACGGCAUUUUUCAUGCAAAAUUCCCAAUGCGAAUUUGAUUUAAAUAAACCGAUACGUUUAGCGAAGCACAUGUUGCAACAAUAUUUCACAGAAGCGAUAUGCUGUGUUUACAUUAUUUUAUUUUCAAUAGAGGAUGUCUCAACAUUUCCUUCGAUUAUGACUUAAUAUGUUGUAAUAAAAAUAAUAUAUCAAAUGAAAUUUCGAUGCCAAAUAGUUCAAUGUGCUUGGGAGCAAAACAUUAUGAAACUAAACUAAACUUAACAACCUUAUUAAGGAACGAGGAGUGGAGCUCAGAAGUUUCUUCGCUUUGCUUCACGGAACGACCUCACUACUCCAAGGAUUUCGGUACUUUGGGAAGCCACGGCCACGCAUUCCAGGACUACGUGAGUGACAGAUGUGCUGAAACAGCCUCUGCACAAGGUAUUGUGUGUAGCGCCAUGGAACCUAACCUUGCUCUUCGAUUUUGUAGUUUUGUAUGAAAAAAGUGUGUUCCUUGUUUUCUGUACCUAAAAUACACCUUUAGCUGUCCCAUAAUGAUGGUAUAUUAAAAAAGAGAUAGAACUAGAGUCAAUAUAUCUCCAAGUUUAAAAAUAUACAAUAUUCAUACCGUAUUCGGCAACUAAAAUAUUUGUAUUCUAAAACGUCCCAGGUGUGUAUAAAAUAUUCAAUAAUAUUUUCAGACACCUUUGUUGUG